AUGGCUGGAGAGAUGGCUCAGAGGUUA
rnacentral:piRNA from 1 species